ACUCUACUUGUUCACCUGUGUCAGUUUGGGGUACGGUCAGCUCACCGGGAGGAUCGCCCUCCCAAUUCAAAGUUUUUUCCUCGAAGUUUCAACCGUCGUUGACUAUGACAACAGUCGUGACCGACUAUUAAGAUCCUCGCGACUAUGGCAGGGCGGUACGCUCUGCUCUCUCACGACCUCCACUCUAAUCAAAAGACUAAAGGCCCCUACGGAAGAUGAAAAAGGCGAGGACUGAAAUGAGAAAGGAAGGAGUUCGGUAAGACGACUUCGAUUCACAUGUGAAAGUGCUUCGAAAGGUGUCAGCAGGUGCGCGGAGCCGGAGCCGGCAUGUUCGCCCGCUGGGCCGAGUGUUCGCCCACUUCUUUUUCUUCGUGUUUAGAGAGAAAUCCGUGUCCGCCCCAGCAAGAAAACGUAUGCGUGUGUACGGAAGCGCAACGGCUUUCGCGCUCAUCCCUUGCUUCAAAACUACAGGUUUUAGCCCUCCGUUUGCUGGUCGCCAUAGACGAGAGCUUCGCCUUUGGAAGCGCUAGUAGCGUAGGGCGACCGGGCCAGCCGAGCCCCUCUGAAUUAGUUGACGGCUUUGAUGACUCGACGGUGAAUAUUAAGGAAAGGAGAGCGUGGGGAAGAGGGGGCAGCCCUCGGCCCGAUCAUCCAAUUCGCUCCGACGAUCCAGGAAUGGUUCAGUAGUCAAAGCAACUUCGUCACUUUCGUGAGAUUGGAAGAGC